rnacentral:lncRNA from 1 species
CUAUGAAGCUUUAAACUAUAGUAACACCACGGGGUUUUAUUUAGCAACACUGAAGUCGCGGCAUGAUGGAGCCGCAGACAAAGCAAUCUGAAGUGAGCGAUGAUGAAGGUUUGAAAACAGCAGGAAAACCAUUUUUGUUGCGGACCCCAACGGCAAGCAGAUAAAAGGAGCCGGCCCCGCAGCCCAGCCUGUUCAGAAAGCACUUGUGGUCGCCACGCGCGGACACACACGGUGCCGCUUUUCCCACAACAGCAAGCGUUAAAAAAACUAUUUAUAAAGGCAUUCAAAAAUGCGCCGCUGGCCUCGGGGGUGCCGCGGGGAGCCGCCGUGGGGGGAGCAGGGCCUGAGGCAGGGCACGGGUCGGGGGGCAGCACCCGCAGCAACGCGGCUGUGCCCACCUGGGUGCGGGGCUCGGUGAGGGUGGUCCCGCAGCAGCCCGCAGUGCGUGGCACGGAGUUCUCAGUUGUCAUUUUCCGUGCUGCAGGGGGGUUCCGUACCUCCCUCCAAAAACUGACUCUGAAAAUCCUGGGUUUACAGUCUGGGUUUUGGAGAUAAAGUCGUAUUUGUGCAAUUCACUUUGAAACGCCUGUUAUGUGGUUCAUUCUCCACAGAUUCCUGUAUCUCGGCUGCUUGGCCUGAGAUGUGCAUGGGUUUACAGCCUGUCCACUCGGCUCCUUUGUCCUCCUUUUUUAGAAUCUUAUGUAAAUGAUAAAUACCCUUGGCCCAACGUACAUGUAUGUACCCAUAGAACCUCCUUAAAAGCAGACUAAUGUUUUGAGGAUUUACAGAUAACAUUUUAAAAUAGUUGUAUGUACCCUAUACUAUCUAACGAUGGCAUAUAUGAAAUAGUAAUUACCAGAGUAACAAUGCCACAUUCAGCAGUUAGCCCCACAAGCUGCCAACCCCACAGAUUUUUAAAGAAUUUUCGGUGCCUGGAGAUGCAAAUAAUUUGUGAAUGUGAGUUUCAAGCCAUCUUGAAACAAGGUUAGGGAAGGCA